GAUGAACGCUGGCGGCGUGCCUAAUACAUGCAAGUCGAGCGAACGGACGAGAAGCUUGCUUUUCUGAUGUUAGCGGCGGACGGGUGAGUAACACGUGGAUAACCUACCUAUAAGACUGGGAUAACUUCGGGAAACCGGAUCUAAUACCGGAUCAUAUUUUGAACCGCAUGGUUCAAAAGUUAAAGACGGUUUUGCUGUCACUUAUAGAUGGAUCCGCGCUGCAUUAGCUAGUUGGUAAGGUAACGGCUUACCAAGGCAACGAUGCAUAGCCGACCUGAGAGGGUGAUCGGCCACACUGGAACUGAGACACGGUCCAGACUCCUACGGGAGGCAGCAGUAGGGAAUCUUCCGCAAUGGGCGAAAGCCUGACGGAGCAACGCCGCGUGAGUGAUGAAGGUCUUCGGAUCGUAAAACUCUGUUAUUAGGGAAGAACAUAUGUGUAAGUAACUGUGCACAUCUUGACGGUACCUAAUCAGAAAGCCACGGCUAACUACGUG
rnacentral:rRNA from 1 species